rnacentral:rRNA from 1 species
UACAGAGGUCUCAAGCGUUGUUCGGAUUCAUUGGGCGUAAAGGGUGCGUAGGCGGCGCGGUAAGUCGGGUGUGAAAUCUCGGAGCUUAACUCCGAAACUGCAUUCGAUACUGCCGUGCUUGAGGACUGGAGAGGAGACUGGAAUUUACGGUGUAGCGGUGAAAUGCGUAGAUAUCGUAAGGAAGACCAGUGGCGAAGGCGGGUCUCUGGGCCUUACCUGACGCUCAGGCGCGAAAGCUAGGGGAGCAAACAGG